AAAAAUAUGUAAUUGAGUUAUAAAGUUAAUUUUAUUAUAAUAACAAAAACAUUUUUAAAUUUAGUAAAGGUGAUUAAAAUUUAUUAUUUAAAACUCUAAUUAAAGUACUGAGAAGGAAAAUUUUAAUUAAAUAAUAGAAAGAAUAAAAAUCUGUACCUUUUGCAUCAUGGUUUAGCUAGAUUUAAAUUUUAAUUAUAAUUUCUCGAAAUCUAAUGGGCUAUUUUUAACUUUUAUUUUAGAAAAUUAAAACUAAUUGUGACAAAAAUUUUUAAAUAGUUAAAAAUAGAAAUGAAAUUUUAUCCGAAUUAGAUGAUAGCUAGUUCUUUUAAAAAAACAUUUAAGUGUUGUUGAUUAAAUUUUUAAGAAAUAUAUUUUUCUAAUAAAUUUUAAUCUAAUUAAAUUACUGAGGAUAAGCUCAGAAAUUAAAUAAAUUAAUAAAACACUAAAUUUUAUCUUGAAUUUAGGCUUGAAAAUAGCCAUAAUAUCUAUGAUUUUGUUAUAAUUUUACAUUUACUGUAAAAACAAAAUUAAACUGUUUUAUAUAUAUAAAAGUUAAAAUUUAUAAAUUAUUAAAUAAAUUAUAUUAAUGCUAAAAUGAGUAUUACAUACAAUAUCAAAUUAAAUUACUUAUUUAAUGUAACCCAGUAUACAAAGAAUACAAAAAAUAAAUUUUAAAAAGGAACUCGGCAAAUAAAUUAUUCUGCCUGUUUAUCAAAAACAUGGCUCCUUGAAUUAAUAUAAUAUAAGGAGUCGGACCUGCCCAGUGAAAUAUUUUAAACGGCCGCGGUACUCUGACCGUGCAAAGGUAGCAUAAUCAUUUGCCCUAUAAUUGAGGGCUAGUAUGAAUGGUUUGACAAGAAUAAAGCUGUCUCUUUAUAAUUAUAUAGAAUUUUAUUUUUAGGUGAAGAAACCUAAAUAAAAUUAAUAGACAAGAAGACCCUAUCGAGCUUUAAAUAAAUUAGUAGGUUCAUGGAAAUAUUUAUAAAACAACAUCUAUUAAAAAUUUUGGUUGGGGCGACAAAGGAACAUAAAAAGCUUCUUUUAAAACAGUAUAAACAAACAAGUUUUGAUCCAAUAAAUUUUGAUUAAAGAAAUUAGUUACCGUAGGGAUAACAGCAUUAUCUUUUUUGAGAGCUCAUAUCGAAAAAAAGGUUUGUGACCUCGAUGUUGGACCAGAAUAUCCUAAAGAUGCAGAAGUCUUUAAGGGUUGGUCUGUUCGACCAUUAAAAUUCUACGUGAUCUGAGUUCAGACCGGCGUGAGCCAGGUCAGUUUCUAUCUUUUAUUAUAAAAAAUAGAUUUAGUACGAAAGGACCAAUUUAUAACAUUAUAAAAAUGAAGUUUUUAGAUUAAGUAUAAUAUAUUAAUAAAUUCUAAUAAUUUAAAAUUUAUAU
rnacentral:rRNA from 1 species